rnacentral:snRNA from 1 species
AUACUUACAUGGACCGGGUCCAUGAACGAUAAAGAAGGCUUAUGGCCUAGAUCAAUGGUUCACAUUGCGCGUAGUGAGUGCCUUGAUCUACCAUCUCCUUCGGGAGAGUGGACGUUAUAAUUUACGAUAGAGGGGGUUCGCGUCCGCGUGACCCCUG